rnacentral:tRNA from 1 species
GGAGAGGUGCCGGAGCCUGGCUUAUCGGGCCUGACUCGAAAUCAGGUGUCCGACCUUUGUCGGACCGCGGGUUCAAAUCCCGCCCUCUCCG